UACACUCCUACGGGAGGCAGCAGUGGGGAAUAUUGCCCAAUGGGCGCAAGCCUGAUGCAGCCAUGCCGCGUGUAUGAAGAAGGCCUUCGGGUUGUAAAGUACUUUCAGCGGGGAGGAAGGCGAUAAGGUUAAUAACCUUGUCGAUUGACGUUACCCGCAGAAGAAGCACCGGCUAACUCCGUGCCAGCAGCCGCGGUAAUACGGAGGGUGCAAGCGUUAAUCGGAAUUACUGGGCGUAAAGCGCACGCAGGCGGUCUGUCAAGUCGGAUGUGAAAUCCCCGGGCUCAACCUGGGAACUGCAUUCGAAACUGGCAGGCUAGAGUCUUGUAGAGGGGGGUAGAAUUCCAGGUGUAGCGGUGAAAUGCGUAGAGAUCUGGAGGAAUACCGGUGGCGAAGGCGGCCCCCUGGACAAAGACUGACGCUCAGGUGCGAAAGCGUGGGGAGCAAACAGGAUUAGAAACCCGAGUAGUCC
rnacentral:rRNA from 1 species